UACGAGGGGGGCUAGCGUUGCUCGGAAUCACUGGGCGUAAAGCGCACGUAGGCGGAUCGUUAAGUCAGGGGUGAAAUCCUGGAGCUCAACUCCAGAACUGCCUUUGAUACUGGCGAUCUUGAGUUCGGGAGAGGUGAGUGGAACUGCGAGUGUAGAGGUGAAAUUCGUAGAUAUUCGCAAGAACACCAGUGGCGAAGGCGGCUCACUGGCCCGAUACUGACGCUGAGGUGCGAAAGCGUGGGGAGCAAACAGG
rnacentral:rRNA from 1 species